GAUGGGCAUGCGGAACAUUAGCUAGUUGGGAGGGUAACGGCCUACCAAGGCAACGAUGUUUAGGGGACCUGAGAGGGUGAUCCCCCACACUGGUACUGAGACACGGACCAGACUCCUACGGGAGGCAGCAGUGAGGAAUAUUGGUCAAUGGGCGCAAGCCUGAACCAGCCAUCCCGCGUGCAGGAAGACGGCCCUAUGGGUUGUAAACUGCUUUUCCAGGGGGAGAAUUUUUCUGUCGUGACAGGAAUUGACGGUACCCAGGGAAUAAGCAUCGGCUAACUCCGUGCCAGCAGCCGCGGUAAUACGGAGGAUGCGAGCGUUAUCCGGAUUUAUUGGGUUUAAAGGGUGCGUAGGCGGAUAGAUAAGUCAGUGGUGAAAACCUGCAGCUUAACUGUAGACUUGCCGUUGAUACUGUCAGUCUUGAGUAUGGUCAAGGUAGGCGGAAUGUGUAAUGUAGCGGUGAAAUGCUUAGAUAUUACACAGAACACCGAUUGCGAAGGCAGCUUACUGGGCCAUUACUGACGCUGAUGCACGAAAGCGUGGGGAUCGAACAGGAUUAGAUACCCUGGUAGUCCACGCCGUAAA
rnacentral:rRNA from 1 species